rnacentral:lncRNA from 13 species
CGGGGGUGAUGCUUGCACUCUGAACGGAAGGGCGUCGUCUUCGCAGCCGAACAGGUUGUGGACACCCAAUCCUUUUUCUGCCCGAAAUCCCAAUCCGAAGCUAAACUGUGUGGUUUUUCCCUUGAAAGCUCCGCAGCCAGGCUUGCUGCCUCCACCCCUUCUUUCGUAUCUGAAGGGUUUUGUCUCCCACUCGAGAGAAACCAAUUUUCUUUAAAAAAAAAAAAUGUGCAGGAUUUCCAAUAAAUAGCAUCCUUGGAUGGAGGAGAAGAGGAAUGACUCCCUCACCCUGCUAUACACACCCCCACGCCACCCCGCAGCUCUGAAACGGCUUUUCUUUCUUAGGCAGCCGCAUGCUGUUGCCAUUCCAGGCUCGUGUGGGAGAAGAUUGUUGUGCGCCUGGGUCUGUCUGCCCGGGCGGCUCCAGCCCCUGGUUUAUAAAAGGUGCAGAUGGUUAAAACACAGACGUGUGACGUCAGGCUCGGUUUUUAAAAGUCCCCUCUUCCCCUACAUCAAUUGUGUCUCCUGGGAUGGACUUUAUUUAGAGAAUCGAUUCGAGCCUAAUGGCAGACUAGAGGAUUGGAGACCUUCUUCAGGACUAUCAGCAGUUCCUGGGAGAAGCACAUUGUGGCUGCAGCAAGAUAUCGUGAAAUACCAGAUCAUAAAGGACAGAGGAAUCCUGAAGAGGAUAAAAUCAUGGAGAGAUGGGGCCAGUUAACAUUACCAAAGGAGCUGGGCUUGGAG